rnacentral:rRNA from 1 species
UACGUAGGGUGCAAGCGUUAAUCGGAAUUACUGGGCGUAAAGCGUGCGUAGGCGGUUGGUUAAGUCUGUCGUGAAAGCCCUGGGCUCAACCUGGGAAUGGCGAUGGAUACUGGCGAGCUAGAGUGUGAUAGAGGAUGGCGGAAUUCCCGGUGUAGCGGUGAAAUGCGUAGAGAUCGGGAGGAACAUCCGUGGCGAAGGCGGCCAUCUGGAUCAACACUGACGCUGAGGCACGAAAGCGUGGGGAGCAAACAGG